UAAUGCAAGAAAUUACGUAUCCUAUAGACCUUAAUAGGUAUUAAAAAUAUGAGACUAUUAAGCCAACAAAAUUGGAAAAUUAGAUGAAAUGGGAAAAUUCCCUUUAAGACGUAAGUUAUCCAAGUCACUGAAGAAGAGAUAGCCUAAUUAAUUCUAUAUCUAUCAAUUAAUGAUAAGUGAAACAAAAUUAAUGAGAAGAUAACACAAUAAUGAAACAACCUGAUAAUGGAUAUUUACAAAAAUUGUAUGGUGAACAUCUUAUUACAAUGUUAAAUAUUUAAUUCAUUGAUGCUAAAAAUGGGAACAAAAUUGGUUUAUUAUCAUCUUUUCUGUUCAACAUUAUACUAGGAACUAAAAAUAUUAAGGCAAAAAUAUCAGAAAAGAAGAAAUACAACUGUCAAUGCCAGAAUAUACAUUCCUGGACAGGUUUAAAUUCACUGAAUGGCACUGGGCUAGAAAGCAGAAGAGAUCAUCAUUCUAUCAUAAUGAAUGUAGAGUGCUAUUGUUGUAAUUUCUGGAAUUGCAUUAAAAUAUGCAGGGGAAUGAGCUUUCUCAAUAAAGAAUAAUGGAUUCAAAGGAUAGCUGGAGUGACACAGAGCUGGCUAUGCUCCCUGGGUCUGCCUGCAUCUGCUCUUCGGAACCACUCACACUGCUUGAUGUGAUUUGACCACCGAAGUUUGGCUGCUCAUUCAUAAGACCUCAGGAGUUACACAUUUUUGUAGACUAUUUCUUAUUCCUUUGGGGAGUGUUGUGAGGGCAAGGAAUGUUUUACAAGUGAAGGCAGCUAAAUUUAAGUAUAAAAAAGCCUCUUUCUGCCUAAGUAAGAAUUAAACAGGACAUAAA
rnacentral:lncRNA from 1 species